UCUACUCGACUCUUCCAGAAUCCAAACUAUCAUCAUCUGCAAUCUGCAGUCCCUUUUUCGCUCUUCCAGAAUUGUAUCAUCCCAAAAUCUUUUUCAAAUCCAUCAAUCGUAUCUUACCGGACCAACAAAAUUGACUCUCCCCAAAUCUCUGUCCUCGAGAUCAAAAAUAAAGGAGCUUGAAAUUCUUUGCUGAUUGAUAAAAUUAGUAAUUCAAUUUCAUUUGUUUCCCAUAAUUGGAAGAGCUGGAGUCAUCUGAUUGGUAAUAUAUAAAAUUGACAAGGGAAGAAGGUAGAUAGCUCAGAGAAAAGGAAGAGGGGGACGGGAAGCAGUCAAAAUCGUUUUGCUGUGAACACUGCUGGACUGAUCCUGUUCAAGCACAGUUGCUGCCCUAUUUUGCAUAAGUCGAGUGCGGUAGAGCAAUUACCUAUCCCUUUUUCCAUGCAUCUUAGUAUCCAGCUUCAGAGUCACUGUUCUCAUUGAAGAUGAGACUGAUCAAGCACAUGCAGUCUUAAUGGGCAAAGAAGCAGAAGAAAUCUUUGGAAUCUCAUGCGAAGACUUGAUUAUCAAGAAAAACUGCAAAAAACCAAAGGAUCAGACCACAAGAAAUUCUUCAAUUAGAAGGACAGUCAAACUGCUGAAAUUGAAGCCAGGAACAAAAAGAGAUUUCCUUAUAAAGGGGAUAUACAAAGAUGUUCACAAGUUCACACCAACCCAAGAUAUCGAACCAACAAAUUCCACGCAAAAUUCUCUUAGGUUUGGAAAGAAGAGGAAGGAAUUGUUCAAAGCAAAACCAAGCAAGAACCCGAAA